UACGUAGGGUGCGAGCGUUGUCCGGAAUUAUUGGGCGUAAAGGGCUCGUAGGCGGUUUGUCGCGUCGGGAGUGAAAACCUUGGGCUUAACUCAGGGCUUGCUUUCGAUACGGGCAGACUAGGGGUAUGCAGGGGAGAACGGAAUUCCUGGUGUAGCGGUGAAAUGCGCAGAUAUCAGGAGGAACACCGGUGGCGAAGGCGGUUCUCUGGGCAUGAUCUGACGCUGAGGAGCGAAAGUGUGGGGAGCGAACAGG
rnacentral:rRNA from 1 species